rnacentral:rRNA from 1 species
AUUGAACGCUGGCGGCAGGCCUAACACAUGCAAGUCGAACGGAAACAGGAAGAAGUUUGCUUCUUUGCUGACGAGGGGCGGGUGGGUGAGACAUGUGUGGGAAACUCCUUGAUGGAGGGGGAUAACUAGUGGAAACGGUAGCUAAUACCGCAUAACGUCGCAAGCACAAAGAGGGGGAGCUACGGGCCUCUUGCCAGCGGAUGCUCCCGGAUGGGAUUCGCGAGUAGGUGGGGUAAGGGUUCACCGAGUCGAAGAUCCGUAGCUGGUCUGAGAGGAGGACCGGCCACACUGGAACUGAGACACGGUCCAGACUCCUACGGGAGGCAGCAGUGGGGAAUAUUGCACAAUGGGCGCAAGCCUGAUGCAGCCAUGCCGCGUGUAUGAAGAAGGCCUUCGGGUUGUAAAGUACUUUCAGCGGGGAGGAAGGGAGUUAGGUUAAUACCUUUGCUCAUUGACGUUACCCGCAGAAGAAGCACCGGCUAACUACGUG